rnacentral:rRNA from 1 species
UUAGAAUUGACGGGACCGCACAAGCGGUGGAUGAUGUGGUUUAAUUCGAUGCAACGCGAAAACCUUACCCACCUUUGACAUGUACGGAAUCCUUUAGAGAUAGAGGAGUGCUCGAAAGAGAGCCGUAACACAGGUGCUGCAUGGCUGUCGUCAGCUCGUGUCGUGAGAUGUUGGGUUAAGUCCCGCAACGAGCGCAACCCUUGUCAUUAGUUGCUACAUUCAGUUGGGCACUCUAAUGAGACUGCCGGUGACAACCGGAGGAAGGUGGGGAUGACGUCAAGUCCUCAUGGCCCUUAUAGGUGGGGCUACACACGUCAUACAAUGGAUGGUACAAAGGGUCGCCAACCCGCGAGGGGGAGCCAAUCCCAUAAAGCCAUUCGUAGUCCGGAUCGCAGUCUGCAACUCGACUGCGUGAAGUCGGAAUCGCUAGUAGUCGUGGAUCAGAAUGUCACGGUGAAUACGUUCCCGGGUCUU